rnacentral:rRNA from 1 species
CAGCCGUAAACUAUGCGCGUUAGGUGUACUGGUGACCACGAGUCACCGGGGUGCCGAAGGGAAACCGUGAAACGUGCCGCCUGGGAAGUACGGUCGCAAGGCUGAACUUAAGGAUUGGCGGGGGAGCACCACAACGGGUGGAGCCUGCGGUUUAAUUGGACUCAACGCCGGAAAUCUCACCGGAUAGGACAGACAUAUGAUAGUCGGGCUGAAGACUCUACUUGAUGAUCUGAGAGGUGGUGCAUGGCGUCAGUGACU